CUGCUAUGAGAGACGUUCCAGCCUCGUGCUGCUUUAAAGGGCUGGGGACUGCUGCGCUCGGCUCGCCUGCUCGCCGCUUCCGGGCUGACAGUCUGGGCUGCACGCAGUGGCGGGCCCGGGAGCCUGAGAAGAUGACUAGGAGUGUCUGAACCCCAGGGUUCAGGCUGGAGAGCCGGUUCCUGACUGCACGGGAGACGCCCUCGCUCAGGACACAGUUCAAAGGAUCUAGAUUGGCAAUCUCAGUCCAGAGCAGAACGGUUUCCAGAUGGGGCCUGAUGGAGUGUGUGUGACAGGCUGGUGCUCCCGGGACCGAUCCUGGAGUCUCGAGGCUUGGCAGGAUCCUCUCUUACUGCCCAACAGGCCGAUUGCUGUCUGCAGGACCACAGGACAAAUUCAAGCUUCUUCUGUCCAAGGGCUUUGACCUCUGUUUCUCAAUCUCUCCUGCCGUGGAGUUACUGAAUCCUCCUAGGACAGGCCGCAAUAUCCCUUCACAGUGAAGGAGGAGGGCGCUUGCCUUAUUCUUCCUGCCGGUGUAUCCUGAGAUUCUGCUGGGUCAUUCACACCAAGAACUGCACUAAGGAGACAGAAGCAGGAAGAUCUCUGUGAGUUCGAGACCAGCCUGGACUACAAGACUACAGGACAGCCAAGACUACACAGAGAAACCCUGUCUCAAAAAACAAAAACAGGGGACUGGAGAGAUGGCUCAAAGAUUAAGUGCACUGGCUGCUCUUCCAGAGGUCCUGAGUUCAAUUCCCAGCAACCACAUGGUGGCUCACAUGAGAUCUGG
rnacentral:lncRNA from 1 species